rnacentral:rRNA from 1 species
UGGCUCAGAGUGAACGCUGGCGGCAGGCCUAAUACAUGCAAGUCGAACGGCAGCACAGCAGAGCUUGCUCUGUGGGUGGCGAGUGGCGGACGGUGAGGAAUACAUGGGAAUCUGCCCAGUCGUGGGGAUAACGUAGGGAAACUUACGCUAAUACCGCAUGCGCCCUUCGGGGGAAAGCCGGGGACCUUCGGGCCUGGCGCGAUUGGAUGAGCCCAUGUCGGAUUAGCUAGUUGGCGGGGUAAUGGCCCACCAAGGCGACGAUCCGUAGCUGGUCUGAGAGGAUGAUCAGCCACACUGGAACUGAGACACGGUCCAGACUCCUACGGGAGGCAGCAGUAGGGAAUAUUGGACAAUGGGCGCAAGCCUGAUCCAGCCAUGCCGCGUGAGUGAAGAAGGCCCUCGGGUUGUAAAGCUCUUUUGUCCGGAAAGAAAAGCGCCGGGUUAAUACCCUGGUGUCCUGACGGUACCGGAAGAAUAAGCACCGGCUAACUUCGUG